rnacentral:rRNA from 1 species
UCGAGGAUCUUCGGCAAUGGGCGCAAGCCUGACCGAGCGACGCCGCGUGGGCGAUGAAGGCCUUCGGGUUGUAAAGCCCUGUCGGGGGGGAGAAAAGGGUAACACUUUGAUCUAUCCCCGGAGGAAGCACGGGCUAAGUUCGUGCCAGCAGCCGCGGUAAGACGAACCGUGCGAACGUUGUUCGGAAUCACUGGGCUUAAAGGGCGCGUAGGCGGGCCUCCAAGUCCGGGGUGAAAUCCUCCAGCCUAACUGGAGAAGAGCCUCGGAGACUGGGGGCCUCGAGGGAGGUAGGGGCGUGCGGAACUAUGGGUGGAGCGGUGAAAUGCAUUGAUAUCCAUAGGAACUCCGGUGGCGAAGGCGGCACGCUGGACCUCUUCUGACGCUGAGGCGCGAAAGCCAGGGGAGCAAACGGGAUUAGAUACCCGGGUAGUCC